CAGCCGCCGCGGUAAGACAGAGGAUGCAAGCGUUGUCCGGGAUUAUUGGGCGUAAAGCGCGCGCAGGCGGAUAGGUCAGUCUGUCUUAAAAGUUCGGGGCUUAACCCCGUGAUGGGAUGGAAACUGCCAAUCUAGAGUAUCGGAGAGGAAAGUGGAAUUCCUAGUGUAGCGGUGAAAUGCGUAGAUAUUAGGAAGAACACCAGUGGAGAAGGCGACUUUCUGGACGAAAACUGACGCUGAGGCGCGAAAGCCAGGGGAGCGAACGGGAUUAGAUACCCCCGUAGUCCCUGUCUCUUAUACC
rnacentral:rRNA from 1 species